CCCGAGGUUAUCUAGAGUCACCAAAGGGUCUGAGUCACCAAUGAUAAAUGCACGCAUACCGGUCCUCUCUCGGGGGGGCCGGGAUGCGUUCCAUUUAUCAGACCAAAAACCACCGGGGGGGACCCGCGAGGGUUCGGGACCCGCGAGGGUUUCCCCCUGCCCUUUGGUGGAGACUCUAUAGAUAACCUCGGGUCGAUCGCGCGCCCACCGCGGCGGGACGUCUCUUUGAAUGUCUGCCCAUCAGCUGUCGAUGGUUAGCAUAGGGGGCUACCAUGGUGACCACGGGUAACGGGGAAUCAGGGUUCGGAUUCCGGAGGAGGGAGCCUGAAGAAAUGGCUACCACAUCCAAGGAAAGGGCAGCAGGCGCGCAAAUUACCCCAUUACCACACGGUGAGGUAGUGACGAAAAAUAACGUGCAGGUCUUCUUUCGAGGCCCCUGUAAUCGGAAUGAACGUAUCCUAAAACACAUGGGUGAGGACNNNNNNNNGUGACAAUAAAUAACAAUACCGGGCUCUCACGAGUCUGGUAAUUGGAAUGAGUACAAUCUAAAUCCCUUAACGAGGAUCCAUUGGAGGCAAGUCUGGGGCCCAGCAGCCGCGGUAAUUCCAGCUCCAAAGCGUUAUUAAAUUUGCUGCAAGUUAAAAAGCUCGUAGUUGGACUUCGGGAGUGGGCUGGCGGUCCGCCGCGAGGCCGAGCUACCGCCUGUCCCCAGACCCUGCCUCCCGGCGCCCCCCGGAUGCCCUUUGGUUGGGUGUCCGGUCCUCAGGGGUCCGGAGCGUUACUUUGAAAAAAUCGAGUGUUCAAAAGCGGGCACCAAACUCGCCUGAAUGCCUGAGCUAGAAUAAUUGGAAUAGACUCCGGUUCUAUUUUGUGGGUUUUCCUGAACCAGGGCCAUGAUUGAACCAGGGCCAUGAUUAAGAGGGUCGGCCGGGGGCAUUUCGUAUUGCGCGCUAGAAGGUGAAAUUCUUGGACCGGCGCAAGACGGGACGAAAAGGAAAGCAUUUGCCAAGAAUGUUUUCAUUUAAUCAAGAACGAAAGUCGGAGGCUCGAAGACGAUCAGAUACCGUCCUAGUCUCAACCAUAAACGAUGCCGACCAGGGAUCGGCGGAUGUUACUUAUAGGACUCCGCCGGCACCUUAUGAGAAAUCAAAGUUUUUGGUUCCGGGGGGAGUAUGGUUGCAAAACUGAAACUUAAAGGAAUUGACGGAUGGCACCACCAGGAGUGGAGCCUGCGGCUUAAUUUGACUCAACACGGGGAAACCUCACCCGGGCCCGGACACGGAAAGGAUUUACAGACUGAUGCUUAAUUUGACCCAACACGGGGAAACUUACCAGGUCCAGACAUAGUAAGGAUUGACAGACUGAGAGCUUCUUUCUCGAUUCUGUGGGUGGUGGUGCAGUGGCUUUCUUAAGUUGGUGGAGUUGAUUUUGUCUGGUUAAUUCCGUUAACGAACGAGACCUCAGCCUGCUAACUAGCUAUGCGGAGGUGACCCUCCGCGGCCAGCUUCUUAGAGGGACUAUGGCCGCUUAGGCCAAGGAAGUUUGAGGUUUAAUUCCGAUAACGAACGAGAUUUCCUUCCGUUCCUAAAUAGUUACGGCGCCCCCCGCGGGUAGGUUAACUUCUUAGAGGGACCAAGUGGCGUAUAGCCACGCGAGAUGGAGAAUAACAGGUUCUGUGAUGCCCUUAGAUGUCCGGGGCUGCACGCGCGCCACAAUGGCCGGGCCAGCGUGUGUGCCUACCCUACCGAGGGCGCGGGUAAUCCGCUUAAAAACCCGUUCGUGACGGGGAUUGGGGAUUGCAAUUAAUUCCCCAUGAACGAGGAAUUCCCAGUAAGUGCGGGUCAUCACUCGCGCUGAUUUUAANNNNNNNNCCCGCCCGUCGCUACUACCGAUUGGAUGGUUAUGUGAGGUCCUCGGAUCGGCCACGCCGGGGCUCCUUCGCGGGGCCUUGGUGCUGUGCUGAAAAGUCGAUCGAACUUGAUCAUCUAGAGGAAGUAAANNNNNN
rnacentral:rRNA from 1 species